rnacentral:rRNA from 1 species
AACGAACGCUGGCGGCAUGCCUAACACAUGCAAGUCGAACGAGACCUUCGGGUCUAGUGGCGCACGGGUGCGUAACGCGUGGGAAUCGGCCCUUGGGUUCGGAAUAACCAGGAGAAAUCCUGGCUAAUACCGGAUGAUGUCUUCGGACCAAAGAUUUAUCGCCCAGGGAUGAGCCCGCGUCGGAUUAGCUAGUUGGUGAGGUAAAGGCGCACCAAGGCGACGAUCCGUAGCUGGUCUGAGAGGAUGAUCAGCCACACUGGGACUGAGACACGGCCCAGACUCCUACGGGAGGCAGCAGUGGGGAAUAUUGGACAAUGGGCGAAAGCCUGAUCCAGCAAUGCCGCGUGAGUGAUGAAGGCCUUAGGGUUGUAAAGCUCUUUUACCCGGGAUGAUAAUGACAGUACCGGGAGAAUAAGCCCCGGCUAACUCCGUGCCAGCCGCCGCGGUAAGAC